ACAAAAGAAAAACAUUAUUCUUGGAAGUUUUCAUAUUCACAGAGUUUUCAUUUUGCACACCACACCCAAUUUGUUCAUCCGGAAACAAAGAACAAGGCUGAAUGCUACAAUCCCGAAUGAUUGGCUUCAGAUCCUCCUCAAAAGUUUCAAUUGGUCGGUCAAAGUGACCACCAAAGUCAAAAGCAUAGUUUCCUGGUUGAACAGGAAUGGCAUCAUAGACCACCAGAUUGUCAGGCUUCUGCAAAAGAAAUUUUGUUUUUUUUUUUCUCCUUUUUACAUCUCAACGGUAACAUCUGUUGAAUUUCUUUUUUACCAAAAAAGCAAAAAACAAAAUAUUGACACGUGGACUUUCUUUAUAAACAAGCAUGUUACUACUAAAUCGCGGUGAUCUUCUCCAAAAUUUAACAAUGGCCAACUUCUUUAAUCACUCUACUAUUCUUCGUUUCUCCAACCUCUCAAAUUCAAAAACCGUGAUUUUACCUAGAAACCUCGAUCUAUCUACAUGGCGAUUCCCAGAAGAACACAAGGACGCAAACCCUAAUUUCAAGAAACGGCGGAGUUUCUCCAAGUAUGGUGAUGGUCGUUCCUCAAAAACAGAUCCUUCUUACAAGAACAGGUUACGUUCACCGCGGUUCUCCGACGAUCCCCAGAAGAACACAAGGACGUCAAGCCGUAAUUUCAAGAAACAGGUUACGUUCACCGCGCGGUUCUCCGACGAUCCCCAGGUGGUGUUUAUCUGCGGCGGUAUGAGUGAAAGUCCUCAGAUUUCGGGGAUACUUGUGUUACAAGGGACUUGGAACGACGAAAUUCCAUUCCACCCAACGGUUCCUAUUCAUCCAAUUCACACACUCGUCUCCUUUUAUCUCCCAAUCUCUGAGUCUCUCUUGCUCGCUUAAGCAGAAUCCGCCAUGGAAAGAGGAAUACGUGCGCAAAUGCUGAUCCUGAAAUACACGUUUUUCGUAUUGGCUGGGAAGAAGAAGGAGAUCGAGAAAGAAAAGCAAGAUGAGAAGCUUAAGACAGAAGAUGAAAAUAUUUCAUAAGUCUCAGGUAAAGAAAAGGUUAAACCGUAACUUAUUAAUGAAUUAUACGUAAUUCGAUUGAAAUCUAGACUUGAAUGUCUAGGCCGUAAAUCACAAGCCCACUAGACCCAUAUAUCUUGAAUUGCUUUGAAUCAUAGGAUUUUGCAUAGGAUUUGCUGGUUUCGAGCGCACGUUAUCUGUCAAAGUAUUACAUUCGCAAAACAAA